rnacentral:rRNA from 1 species
GUUAAGCGACUAAGCGUACACGGUGGAUGCCCUGGCAGUCAGAGGCGAUGAAGGACGUGCUAAUCUGCGAUAAGCGUCGGUAAGGUGAUAUGAACCGUUAUAACCGGCGAUUUCCGAAUGGGGAAACCCAGUGUGAUUCGUCACACUAUCAUUAACUGAAUCCAUAGGUUAAUGAGGCGAACCGGGGGAACUGAAACAUCUAAGUACCCCGAGGAAAAGAAAUCAACCGAGAUUCCCCCAGUAGCGGCGAGCGAACGGGGAGCAGCCCAGAGCCUGAAUCAGUGUGUGUGUUAGUGGAAGCGUCUGGAAAGGCGCGCGAUACAGGGUGACAGCCCCGUACACAAAAAUGCACAUACUGUGAGCUCGAUGAGUAGGGCGGGACACGUGGUAUCCUGUCUGAAUAUGGGGGGACCAUCCUCCAAGGCUAAAUACUCCUGACUGACCGAUAGUGAACCAGUACCGUGAGGGAAAGGCGAAAAGAACCCCGGCGAGGGGAGUGAAAAAGAACCUGAAACCGUGUACGUACAAGCAGUGGGAGCACGCUUAGGCGUGUGACUGCGUACCUUUUGUAUAAUGGGUCAGCGACUUAUAUUCUGUAGCAAGGUUAACCGAAUAGGGGAGCCGAAGGGAAACCGAGUCUUAACUGGGCGUUAAGUUGCAGGGUAUAGACCCGAAACCCGGUGAUCUAGCCAUGGGCAGGUUGAAGGUUGGGUAACACUAACUGGAGGACCGAACCGACUAAUGUUGAAAAAUUAGCGGAUGACUUGUGGCUGGGGGUGAAAGGCCAAUCAAACCGGGAGAUAGCUGGUUCUCCCCGAAAGCUAUUUAGGUAGCGCCUCGUGAAUUCAUCUCCGGGGGUAGAGCACUGUUUCGGCAAGGGGGUCAUCCCGACUUACCAACCCGAUGCAAACUGCGAAUACCGGAGAAUGUUAUCACGGGAGACACACGGCGGGUGCUAACGUCCGUCGUGAAGAGGGAAACAACCCAGACCGCCAGCUAAGGUCCCAAAGUCAUGGUUAAGUGGGAAACGAUGUGGGAAGGCCCAGACAGCCAGGAUGUUGGCUUAGAAGCAGCCAUCAUUUAAAGAAAGCGUAAUAGCUCACUGGUCGAGUCGGCCUGCGCGGAAGAUGUAACGGGGCUAAACCAUGCACCGAAGCUGCGGCAGCGACGCUGAUGCGUUGUUGGGUAGGGGAGCGUUCUGUAAGCCUGUGAAGGUGUGCUGUGAGGCAUGCUGGAGGUAUCAGAAGUGCGAAUGCUGACAUAAGUAACGAUAAAGCGGGUGAAAAGCCCGCUCGCCGGAAGACCAAGGGUUCCUGUCCAACGUUAAUCGGGGCAGGGUGAGUCGACCCCUAAGGCGAGGCCGAAAGGCGUAGUCGAUGGGAAACAGGUUAAUAUUCCUGUACUUGGUGUUACUGCGAAGGGGGGACGGAGAAGGCUAUGUUGGCCGGGCGACGGUUGUCCCGGUUUAAGCGUGUAGGCUGGUUUUCCAGGCAAAUCCGGAAAAUCAAGGCUGAGGCGUGAUGACGAGGCACUACGGUGCUGAAGCAACAAAUGCCCUGCUUCCAGGAAAAGCCUC